AUUGAACGCUGGCGGCAGGCCUAACACAUGCAAGUCGAGCGAGCGGCGGACGGGUGAGUAAUGUCUGGGAAACUGCCUGAUGGAGGGGGAUAACUACUGGAAACGGUAGCUAAUACCGCAUACCAUCAGAUGUGCCCAGAUGGGAUUAGUUAGUAGGUGGGGUAAUGGCUCACCUAGGCGACGAUCCCUAGCUGGUCUGUGAGGAUGACCAGCCACACGGCAACUGAGACACGGGCCAGACUCCUACGGGAGGCAGCAUUGGGGAAUAUUGCACAAUGGGCGCAGGCCUGAUGCAGCCAUGCCGCGUGUGUGAAGAAGGCCUUCGGGUUGUAAAGCACUUGCAGCGGGGAGGCGUUACCUGCAGAAGAAGCACCCGCUAACGCCGUGCCAGCCGCCGCGGUAAUUC
rnacentral:rRNA from 1 species